rnacentral:rRNA from 1 species
UACGUAGGUGGUUCCGUGUGUCGGGUGUGAAAUCCCACAGCUCAACUGUGGAACUGCAUCCGAAACUGCGGGGCUUGAGUGCAGGAGGGGAGAGCGGAAUUCUUGGUGUAGCGGUGAAAUGCGUUGAUAUCAAGAGGAACACCGGUGGCGAAGGCGGCUCUCUGGAAUGUUACUGACACUGAGGUACGAAAGCUGGGGGAGCGAACA